rnacentral:rRNA from 1 species
CCCUACGGGGGUCAGCAGGCGCGAAAACUUUACACUGCGCGAAAGCGCGAUAGGGGACCUCGAGUGCGUGCGCAAUGGCGUACGCUUUUCAGAUGCCUAAAAAGCAUGUGGAAUAAGGGCCGGGCAAGACCGGUGCCAGCCGCCGCGGUAACACCGGCGGCUCAAGUGGUGGCCGCUAUUAUUGGGCUUAAAGGGUCCGUAGCCGGACCAGUUAGUCCCUUGGGAAAUCUUACGGCUUAACCGUAAGGCUGCCAAUGGAUACUGCUGGUCUUGGGACCGGGAGAGGUAAGAGGUACUUCAGGGGUAGGAGUG